AUUGAACGCUGGCGGCAGGCCUAACACAUGCAAGUCGAGCGGAUGAAGGGAGCUUGCUCCUGGAUUCAGCGGCGGACGGGUGAGUAAUGCCUAGGAAUCUGCCUGGUAGUGGGGGAUAACGUCCGGAAACGGGCGCUAAUACCGCAUACGUCCUGAGGGAGAAAGUGGGGGAUCUUCGGACCUCACGCUAUCAGAUGAGCCUAGGUCGGAUUAGCUAGUUGGUGGGGUAAAGGCCUACCAAGGCGACGAUCCGUAACUGGUCUGAGAGGAUGAUCAGUCACACUGGAACUGAGACACGGUCAGACUCCUACGGGAGGCAGCAGUGGGGAAUAUUGGACAAAGGGCGAAAGCCUGAUCCAGCCAUGCCGCGUGUGUGAAGAAGGUCUUCGGAUUGUAAAGCACUUUAAGUUGGGAGGAAGGGCAGUAAGUUAAUACCUUGCUGUUUUGACGUUACCAACAGAAUAAGCGCCGGCUAACUUCGUG
rnacentral:rRNA from 1 species